GUCUGAAUGGGGGAACCCACCUACUUUAAGGUAGGUAUUGCAACAUGAAUACAUAGUGUUGCAAGGCGAACGAGGGGAAGUGAAACAUCUCAGUACCCUUAGGAAAAGAAAUCAAUUGAGAUUCCCUCAGUAGCGGCGAGCGAACGGGGAUCAGCCCAUUAAGUUAUGUGUGUUUUAGUGGAACGCUCUGGGAAGUGCGAACGUAGAGGGUGAUAUUCCCGUACACGAAAGGGCACACAUAAUGAUGACGAGUAGGGCGAGGCACGUGAAACCUUGUCUGAAUAUGGGGGGACCAUCCUCCAAGGCUAAAUACUCCUGACUGACCGAUAGUGAACCAGUACCGUGAGGGAAAGGCGAAAAGAACCCCUGUGAGGGGAGUGAAAUAGAUCCUGAAACCGCAUGCAUACAAGCAGUGGGAGCACCUUCGUGGUGUGACUGCGUACCUUUUGUAUAAUGGGUCAGCGACUUAUAUUCAGUAGCGAGGUUAACCGUAUAGGGGAGCCGUAGAGAAAUCGAGUCUUAAUAGGGCGUUUAGUUGCUGGGUAUAGACCCGAAACCAGGCGAUCUAUCCAUGAGCAGGUUGAAGGUUGGGUAACACUAACUGGAGGACCGAACCCACUGUCGUUGAAAAGCCAGGGGAUGACUUGUGGAUAGGGGUGAAAGGCUAAUCAAGCCUGGUGAUAGCUGGUUCUCCCCGAAAGCUAUUUAGGUAGCGCCUCGGACGAAUACCAUAGGGGGUAGAGCACUGUUUCGGCUAGGGGGUCAUCCCGACUUACCAAACCGAUGCAAACUCCGAAUACCUAUGAGUACUAUCCGGGAGACAGACUGCGGGUGCUAACGUCCGUAGUCAAGAGGAAAACAAUCCAGACCGCCAGCUAAGGCCCCAAAAUCAUAGUUAAGUGGGAAACGAUGUGGGAAGGCAUAGACAGCUAGGAGGUUGGCUUAGAAGCAGCCACCCUUUAAAGAAAGCGUAAUAGCUCACUAGUCGAGUCGGCCUGCGCGGAAGAUGUAACGGGGCUAAAACUAUGUGCCGAAGCUGCGGAUGUAUACUUUGUAUACGUGGUAGGGGAGCGUUCUGUAAGCCGAUGAAGGUGUGUUGAGAAGCAUGCUGGAGGUAUCAGAAGUGCGAAUGCUGACGUGAGUAACGACAAAACGGGUGAAAAACCCGUUCGCCGAAAGACCAAGGGUUCCAGUCCAACGUUAAUCGGGGCUGGGUGAGUCGACCCCUAAGGCGAGGCCGAAAGGCGUAGUCGAUGGGAAAAUGGUUAAUAUUCCAUUACUUCUGUGUAAUGCGAUGAGAGGACGGAGAAGGCUAAAUCAGCCUGGCGUUGGUUGUCCAGGUGAAAGGAUGUAGGCAUGUAUCUUAGGCAAAUCCGGGGUACUCUAUGCUGAGAUCUGAUAGCAAGCUGUACUUGUACAGCGAAGUGGUUGAUGCCAUGCUUCCAGGAAAAGUCUCUAAGCUUCAGUUACACAGGAAUCGUACCCGAAACCGACACAGGUGGUCAGGUCGAGUAGACCAAGGCGCUUGAGAGAACUCUGCUGAAGGAACUAGGCAAAAUGGUACCGUAACUUCGGGAGAAGGUACGCUGUUGUUGGUGAUGGAACUCGCUUCCUGAGCUGACGACAGCCGCAGAAACCAGGCCGCUGCAACUGUUUAUUAAAAACAUAGCACUCUGCAAACACGAAAGUGGACGUAUAGGGUGUGAUGCCUGCCCGGUGCUGGAAGGUUAAUUGAUGGGGUUAGCGUAAGCGAAGCUCUUGAUCGAAGCCCCAGUAAACGGCGGCCGUAACUAUAACGGUCCUAAGGUAGCGAAAUUCCUUGUCGGGUAAGUUCCGACCUGCACGAAUGGCAUAAUGAUGGCGGCGCUGUCUCCAGCAGAGGCUCAGUGAAAUCGAAAUCGCUGUGAAGAUGCAGUGUACCCGCGGCUAGACGGAAAGACCCCGUGAACCUUUACUGCAGCUUGACACUGAACUUUGACCUUACUUGUGUAGGAUAGGUGGGAGGCUUUGAAGCUGGAACGCUAGUUCCAGUGGAGCCGUCCUUGAAAUACCACCCUGGUAAUGUUGAGGUUCUAACUCUGUCCCGUGAUCCGGGACGAGGACCGUGUCUGGUGGGUAGUUUGACUGGGGCGGUCUCCUCCUAAAGAGUAACGGAGGAGUACGAAGGUGCGCUCAGCGUGGUCGGAAAUCACGCGUAGAGUAUAAAGGCAAAAGCGCGCUUAACUGCGAGACCCACAAGUCGAGCAGGUACGAAAGUAGGUCUUAGUGAUCCGGUGGUUCUGUAUGGAAGGGCCAUCGCUCAACGGAUAAAAGGUACUCUGGGGAUAACAGGCUGAUACCGCCCAAGAGUUCAUAUCGACGGCGGUGUUUGGCACCUCGAUG
rnacentral:rRNA from 1 species